rnacentral:rRNA from 1 species
GACGAACGCUGGCGGCGUGCUUAACACAUGCAAGUCGAACGGAAAGGCCCUGCUUUUGUGGGGUGCUCGAGUGGCGAACGGGUGAGUAACACGUGAGUAACCUGCCCUUGACUUUGGGAUAACUUCAGGGAACUGGGGCUAAUACCGGAUAGGAGCUCCUGCUGCAUGGUGGGGGUUGGAAAGUUUCGGCGGUUGGGGACGGACUCGCGGCUUAUCAGCUUGUUGGUGGGGUAGUGGCUUACCAAGGCUUUGACGGGUAGCCGGCCUGAGAGGGUGACCGGCCACAUUGGGACUGAGAUACGGCCCAGACUCCUACGGGAGGCAGCAGUGGGGAAUAUUGCACAAUGGGCGGAAGCCUGAUGCAGCAACGCCGCGUGCGGGAUGACGGCCUUCGGGUUGUAAACCGCUUUCGCCUGUGACGAAGCGUGAGUGACGGUAAUGGGUAAAGAAGCACCGGCUAACUACGUG